GGGCGCAAGCCUGAUGCAGCAACGCCGCGUGAGGGACGAAGGCCUUCGGGUUGUAAACCUCUUUUAGCAGGGAAGAAGCGAAAGUGACGGUACCUGCAGAAAAAGCACCGGCUAACUACGUGCCAGCAGCCGCGGUAAUACGUAGGGUGCAAGCGUUGUCCGGAAUUAUUGGGCGUAAAGAGCUCGUAGGCGGUUUGUCACGUCUGCUGUGAAAACCCGAGGCUCAACCUCGGGCUUGCAGUGGGUACGGGCAGACUAGAGUGCGGUAGGGGAGAUUGGAAUUCCUGGUGUAGCGGUGGAAUGCGCAGAUAUCAGGAGGAACACCGAUGGCGAAGGCAGAUCUCUGGGCCGUAACUGACGCUGAGGAGCGAAAGCAUGGGGAGCAAACAGGCUUAGAUACCCUGGUAGUCCAUGCCGUAAACGUUGGGAACUAGAUGUGGGGACCAUUCCACGGUCUCCGUGUCGUAGCUAACGCAUUAAGUUCCCCGCCUGGGGAGUACGGCCGCAAGGCUAAAACUCAAAGGAAUUGACGGGG
rnacentral:rRNA from 1 species